CUGGUUGAUCCUGCCAGUAGUCAUAUGCUUGUCUCAAAGAUUAAGCCAUGCAUGUCUAAGUACAUACUUUUGAACAGUGAAACCGCGAAUGGCUCAUUAAAUCAGUUAUGGUUCCUUAGAUCGUUUCUACUACAUGGAUAACUGUGGUAAUUCUAGAGCUAAUACAUGCAAAAAGCUCCGACCGUAUGGGAAGAGCGCUUUUAUUAGACCAAAACCAAUGGGGUCGCAAGACUCCUUUGACUGGUGACUCUGGAUAACUUUAUGCUGAUCGCAUGGCCUAGAGCCGGCUACGUAUCUUGCA
rnacentral:rRNA from 1 species